rnacentral:rRNA from 1 species
AGGAUGAACGCUAGCGGCGUGCCUAACACAUGCAAGUCGAACGUGAAGAGGUACUUGUAUCUCUGAAAGUGGCGGACGGGUGAGUAAGACGUAGGUGACCUGCCUUCAAGUGGGGGAUAACCAUUGGAAACGAUGGCUAAUACCGCAUGACGUUGUUGGAUUGGGAAAUUUGACAACCAAAGCUUUGGCGCUGGGAGAGGGGCCUACGGCCGAUUAGCUAGUUGGUGGGUAAGAGCCUACCAAGGCGAUGAUCGGUAGCUGGUCUGAGAGGACGAUCAGCCACACGGGAACUGAGACACGGUCUCGACUCCUACGGGGGGCAGCAGUGAGAUAUCGCAAUGGGGCAACCCUGACCGAGCAACGCCGACGUGGAGGAUGACGUUUUCGGAUUGUAAACUCCUUUUCUGGGAACGUAGCAAGACGGUACCCCAGGAAUCAGUCACGGCUAACUACGUGCCAGCGAGCCGC